AGUCCCUCACCUUCUCCAGACGCCACUCGUUCGGCUCCCGCUUUUCUGCCGCCAUCGACUCGCAGCGACACAGCAACCGCACAAGGUUCAACUCCAGCCGCGACGUCGCCAGCGGGCGAAUCUCUAACCCAGACGGGCCUUGGAGCCGCCGAUCACACUCGGGAAGCGAUGGCUGGCAGGACCGGAAGGGCCGUCGCAGCUUCGGACCCACGCGCAACGCUCCCCGGUCACUGAGUUCCGCUCGCACAACUGCCCAGUGCGCAUCUUUCUGAGCGCUCCGUAGCCAAACCCCAGCAUUCGCUUUCUCCUUUCGCCUGGGGCUUUCCCCGAGCCUGACUUGAUGACUUGCCAGGUGGGCGCUUCCGUCGGACAGACCGGCUAGUUUCCAGCCCUGGUAGUCUGCCUACCGAGCUCUGACCCAGCCGUUUCUAUCCUCAGCCAAGAUUCUUUCCAUUCUGUAAUAAAUCAUUAUGAUCCAUUUUAUGAAAA